GCUGGAGUGCAGUGGUGGGAUCUCAGCUCACUGGAACCUCCACCAUCCAGAUUCAACCGAUUCUCCUGCUUCAGCCUUCUGAGUAGCUGGGAUUACAAGUGCCUGCCAACCACGCCUGGCUAAUUUUUGUAUUUUUAGUAGAGACGGGGUUUCACUACGUUGUACAGGCUGGCCUCGAACUCCUGACCCCAAGUGAUCUGCCAGCCUCGGCCUCCCAAUGUGCUGGGAUUACAGGCGUGAGCCACCGCACCCUGCCAAUUGCUUGCUUUUCUUCUUCCAACUAUAGAUGAUGCCAAGAUGUAGGAGUUUGUACAGUGUACCUGGUGAUGGCCUGAGAAGACUGAGCAGCCAGCCCUGGCUUUGGGGAAGCGUUUGCCAGCUCACUUACUUACUCCUUAUGUUUGCUCUCCUUCCCUGCCUGACUUAGUCUUGCUUUACUGGGAUUAUGUUCACUACCACCCUCCAUCAGAAAAAAAAUAGCAUGCAUCCUUUUGCCUCUCAUUUUUUAUGGUAAUGGAGAACUAAUGAUUUUUCCCUCUUAAAGGCACUUGUGCCAGCAACAUCUCCAGUUUUUUUAGUAAAUACUGUUGAAGGCUUUAAGCCUUCAACUAUAGAUUUCUAAGCCUUUUAAACCAUUUG
rnacentral:lncRNA from 1 species